CAAAAAAAAAAAAAAAAGGAAAACACAGUGUCCAUAGUUUAGCAGUGUAUUUCUUUGCCUCAGAAAAAUAAGGACCUUUUAAAGCCACCUUUUUGUAUCAGCACUGAGAGACUAGCACCCACCUCCUGCCCAUCUGACAACAGGCUACAACGGAAUUCAGAUGCUAAUUUGGAGCCGGACUUCUCAAUGGCCCUUUAUUUCUGCAGCAGCUCCAGGAUCAGAGCUCUGGUGAACCAGCUGGCUGGCACUCUACAUUCUUCCCCGAGACAUGGCUGUACCCAACAUCCUGCUGCUGUGCUGAGUUUCAGAGCAGGCAGGUAUUUUGCCUACACUUAGUAGCAAUUACGUAUUUGCAAAGAAGUCAUAUGAUCUUUCCUCUAACACUGGAAGAAUAUGCCUGCAGCAGAAAGAACUUCAUUCCGGUGUAAGCAUAUUAUGAUUUUCAUUUCCUAAGAGGCCUCUAAAAAGAAAACUUAUGUCAGAAUGCUGUUUGACCACAACAAACAUAUGGUUGAAGAAGUACUGGGCAAACCAGGCUUUAUUUAGAUAAGAAAAAUAAGAACAUUAGAUAGCAAGAAACCAGCAAGUAAAGCCCACUUCAAAGCCAUGAAUCACGUGGAUCUUGGUGCGUAAACAACAGAGAACCCAUUUUCCGUCAUUAUUCAAAUGCUGUAAUGGGGGCUAAAAAGACCAAUCAGACUAAUAAAAUGACACAGAGUAGAUGUA